GUGGUUUAAUUCGAUGCAACGCGAAGAACCUUACCUGGUCUUGACAUCCCGGAGACCCUUAGGAAACUAGGGGGUGCUUCCAUCUGGAAGAAUCUGGAGACAGGUGCUGCAUGGCUGUCGUCAGCUCGUGUCGUGAGAUGUUGGGUUAAGUCCCGCAACGAGCGCAACCCUUGCCUUUAGUUGCCAGCAGUUCGGCUGGGCACUCUAAAGGGACUGCCGGUGUUAAACCGGAGGAAGGUGGGGAUGACGUCAAGUCCUCAUGGCCUUUAUGACCAGGGCUACACACGUACUACAAUGGCCGAUACAAAGGGCAGCGACACUGCGAGGUGAAGCCAAUCCCGUAAAAUCGGUCUCAGUCCGGAUUGGAGUCUGCAACUCGACUCCAUGGAGUUGGAAUCGCUAGUAAUCGUGGAUCAGCAUGCCACGGUGAAUACGUUCCCGGGCCUU
rnacentral:rRNA from 1 species